AAUAAAUUGCUAAAUUCUAUAAUAAUUUCUGUUAUAUCAGCUCAUCAUCUUUUCUCUUUUUCUUUUGCUGUCCCCCAACUAUUCCUCUUUCUGGUCAGUGUGUGCCCUGAUUUCUUUCCGAAGAAUGACCUCUCUCCAGUCUGCAGGGACUGUGAAUAAGGGUCUCUGAACUUCCUUAGCCUAUAUAUAUUUUUCCUUUUUUUUGAGGGAGUACUCUGAAUCUAGAACUGAGUGUUACAAAGAUGUAAAAGACAGUUGGAGUUCAUUCCUGUGUAGUACCCUAAAGAGACUGUCAAGGUGUCCUGCAGCCUCCAUGCCCAAAGCUGGAUGGUUACUGACUGAAUGCUAAGCUGACUCCAAGCUUGGGCUCAAAGUCUCUUUGCCCUUUUGAGUUCUUUAAGACUGGUCCAGUAAAUUCUCUUUCUAAUUUAACCAGAAUGGGUUUCUGAUACUUAAAACCAUGGAAGCCUAACAAACAGAGACAGAAUUUUUGUGGGGAGUUCCAGAACUCCGGUAAUCACCAGACUCCCAGUGUCCUAGUGAAUGAACUAUGGAGAGGAUGGAGGGAUACUUUCAGGAUUCUGGUGUCACACAUUCUACAUGAAAAGUGGUUGUAUAUUGCACUCCACUUUGCAAAUGAAAUAAAACACUGGAAGAAGACAUACAUAAGAGAAAAAGCAUUGCUCUCAGCUUUUACGCCGUUUCCUAGUUUAUUUGGGACUCUGUCCUCUACCCAGACAUCGGUCAUUUGAGAUCCGUGCCAGGCAAGAUUGAUACAACAGAAAGAUAUUGAAUUCCAACAGUUUUUAAAAAAGUCAUUAAGAAAUUGGAACCCAGGAAUCAAAGUGUCAAUAAUAGAAGACUACCAAUAAUACAAAGACUCAUGGAAACCAAAAGCCAAAGGAGAACUGUGAGUGUGCAUUUUUCUCUCUUGUGCCAUUUGCGACUCUUUUGACUUUAAGUGCCAUGUGUAUAUUUUAGGGGGUUUGCUAGGACUAAGAUUGGACUAGCUUUUCCUUCUCAGAGUGCUCAGAUCCAAGUGACACUGAAGGAAAAAUCAUGAGGAAGUUUGGAGCCAGCUCCUGGUGCUUGAGCAUAAAGUCAAAAAGAAACUAUAAUUCAGUUACACUGUUAAGUGUGAUGAUAUAG
rnacentral:lncRNA from 1 species